rnacentral:lncRNA from 1 species
UAUUGGCGCAGGCUUGAUACACAAAGGCGUACAAAGUGUGUCUUAGAUAACUCGAUCAAGUUCGGUACUUGUCGAUUAUUCGUGACAGGCAUAAGAGGAGUAUAUUCCUAUUCGGAGUCAUUUGUUUUAAAUGAUGUUUGGUAAGGAAUAGGUUAGCACCAUCUUCUCAAUUUUGUUGUCCAGAUCAUAAUCUUCUUGUGUCAUUUCAAGAAGUUUACCAUGUGUACAGCCAUCAUGCACAAGGAACAUUCUUCAACCUUUCCGAUUCUUCAUCUUUUCGAAUAUUUUGUCACCGAAAAUGUCUUUGGCCCAUACUUCACACUCGCUCUAAGUUUCCAACCACAUCCUUGAACACGACACUUAGCCACAUACAGAGUUUUUGUUGUCUUAUAUGCUGAAAAUGUAAAAUUAUAUUCCACAGUCACCGACUUCAGCUUUGAAACAAGCUCAGCCUUACUAGCAAAACUAUAAACGAAGACUUAGAAAUACGUCUACAAUUAUUAGCUAACAACAUUGUCAAAUCAAAUGAAUUAUACCUUCAUAAUUAUAAAAAAAAAAUUAUUUUCAAAAUCACUCAAACCCAUUAGGAUUAACUAACACACACUGUCAAAC